rnacentral:rRNA from 1 species
UGGGGAAUUUUCCGCAAUGGGCGAAAGCCUGACGGAGCAAUACCGCGUGAGGGAGGAAGGCUCUUGGGUUGUAAACCUCUUUUCUGCAAGGAAGAAGUUCUGACGGUAACUUGAGGAGAAUCAGGAC